rnacentral:rRNA from 1 species
AUAUUGGUCAAUGGGCGAGAGCCUGAACCAGCCAAGUCGCGUGAGGGAAGAAUGGUCUAUGGCCUGUAAACCUCUUUUGUCAAGGAAGAAUAAGGAUGACGAGUCAUUCGAUGCCAGUACUUGACGAAUAAGCAUCGGCUAACUCCGUGCCAGCAGCCGCGGUAAUACGGGGGAUGCGAGCGUUAUCCGGAUUUAUUGGGUUUAAAGGGCGCGUAGGCGGGACGGCAAGUCAGCGGUAAAAGACUGCAGCUAAACUGUAGCACGCCGUUGAAACUGUUGACCUCGAGACGAGACGAGGGAGGCGGAACAAGUGAAGUAGCGGUGAAAUGCAUAGAUAUCACUUGGAACCCCGAUAGCGAAGGCAGCUUCCCAGGCUCGUUCUGACGCUGAUGCGCGAGAGCGUGGGUAGCGAACAGGAUUAGAUACCCUGGUAGUCCACGCCGUAAACGAUGCUCACUGGAUCUUGGCGAUACACGGCCAGGGUUCAAGCGAAAGUAUUAAGUGAGCCACCUGGGGAGUACGUCGGCAACGAUGAAACUCAAAGGAAUUGACGGGGGCCCGCACAAGCGGAGGAACAUGUGGUUUAAUUCGAUGAUACGCGAGGAACCUUACCCGGGUUUAAAUGUAGAUUGCAUGAGGUGGAAACACUUCUUCCCUUCGGGGCUAUUUACAAGGUGCUGCAUGGUUGUCGUCAGCUCGUGCCGUGAGGUGUCGGGUUAAGUCCCAUAACGAGCGCAACCCCUAUCGCCAGUUGCCAUCGGUUCAAGCCGGGCACUCUGUCGAGACUGCCACCGUAAGGUGCGAGGAAAGGCGGGGAGGACGUCAAAUCAGCACGGCCCUUACACCCGGGGCGACACACGUGUUACAAUGGCCGGUACAGAGGGCAGCCACGGGGUGACCCGGAGCGAAUCUCUAAAGCCGGUCGUAGUUCGGACUGGAGUCUGCAACCCGACUCCACGAAGUUGGAUUCGCUAGUAAUCGCGCAUCAGCCAUGGCGCGGUGAAUACGUUCCC